CAGUCGCCGCGGUAAUACGAAGGUCUCGAGCGUUGUUCGGAAUCACUGGGCGUAAAGGGAGCGUAGGCGGCGUGGUAAGUCAGAUGUGAAAUCCCGGGGCUCAACCCCGGAACUGCAUCCGAUACUGCCAUGCUAGAGGAUUGGAGAGGUAGCUGGAAUUCUUGGUGUAGCAGUGAAAUGCGUGGAGAUCAAGAGGAACACUCGUGGCGAAAGCGAGCUACUGGACAAUAACUGACGCUGAGGCUCGAAGGCCAGGGUAGCGAAAGGGAUUAGAGACCCCUGUAGUCCCUGUCUCUUAUAC
rnacentral:rRNA from 1 species